rnacentral:rRNA from 1 species
AAUGAACGCUGGCGGCAGGCCUAACACAUGCAAGUCGAGCGAAAUCUCCGUACUUAGCGGCGGACGGGGGAGUAACGCGUGGGAACAUGCCCGUUGGUGCGGAAUAGUCCCGGGAAACUGGGAGUAAUGCCGCAUGUGUCAUGCGGGGGAAAGAUUUAUCGCACAAGUAUAGGCCCGCGUUGGUUUAGGUGGGUGGGGGGGUAAUGGCCUACCAAGCCGUCGAUCGAUAGCGGGGUAGAGAGGAUGAGCAGCCACACUGGGACUGGGACACGGCGCAGACUCCUACGGGAGGCAGCCGUGGGUAAUCUUGGACUAUCGGCUCAAGCCUGAACUCGCCAUGCCGCGUGAGCGAUGAAGUCGUUAGAGUUGUAAAGAUCUUUAAGAGGGCAAGAUAAUGACGGUACCCACAGAAGAAGCCCCGGCUAACUCCGUG